GGUGGAGAGACACGAGGAGGGUGAGACAGGUGGAGAGACAUGUGGAGGAUGAGACAGGUGGAGAGACACGUGGAGGGUGAGACACGUUGAGGAGAGAGACAAUGGAGGGAAGAAGACAGUUGGAGAGGAGAGACAGGUGGAGAUACAGUUGGAGAGGAGAGACAGGUGGAGAGACAGUUGGAGAGGAGAGACAGGUGGAGGGGAGAGACAGGUGGAGAGACAGGUGGAGAGACGGGUGGAGGGGAGAGACAGGUGGAGAGACAGGUGGAGGGGAGAGACAGGUGGAGACACGUGGGGGGGAGACAGGUGGAGGAUGAGACAGGUGGAGGGAGGGGGAGAGACAGGUGGAGAGUGAGACAGGUGGAGAGUGAGACAGGUGGAGCAGCAGCUCAGCACCCUGGUUCAGUACCCCCCAGUGGCUGCUGUACCCCCGUCCCCUGAGGUGACCCCCUCCCGAGAUACUGC